rnacentral:rRNA from 2 species
UGCCAAUGGCACUGCCCGGUAGCUAAAUGCGGAAGAGAUAAGUGCUGAAAGCAUCUAAGCACGAAACUUGCCCCGAGAUGAGUUCUCCCUGACUCCUUGAGAGUCCUGAAGGAACGUUGAAGACGACGACGUUGAUAGGCCGGGUGUGUAAGCGCAGCGAUGCGUUGAGCUAACCGGUACUAAUGAACCGUGAGGCUUAACCUUACAACGCCGAAGGUGUUU